rnacentral:tRNA from 3 species
GCGCCUGUAGCUCAGCUGGAUAGAGUACUCGGCUACGAACCGAGCGGUCGGAGGUUCGAAUCCUUCCAGGCGCGCCA